rnacentral:rRNA from 1 species
UAAUACAUGCAAGUCGAACGAUGAUGAAGCUUCUAGCUUGCUAGAAGUGGAUUAGUGGCGCACGGGUGAGUAAUGCAUAGGUUAUGUGCCCUUUAGUCUGGGAUAGCCACUGGAAACGGUGAUUAAUACUGGAUACUCCCUACGGGGGAAAGUUCGCUAAAGGAUCAGCCUAUGUCCUAUCAGCUUGUUGGUGAGGUAAUGGCUCACCAAGGCUAUGACGGGUAUCCGGCCUGAGAGGGUGAUCGGACACACUGAAACUGAGACACGGUCCAGACUCCUACGGGAGGCAGCAGUAGGGAAUAUUGCUCAAUGGGGGAAACCCUGAAGCAGCAACGCCGCGUGGAGGAUGAAGGUUUUAGGAUUGUAAACUCCUUUUGUAAGAGAAGAUUAUGACGGUAUCUUACGAAUAAGCACCGGCUAACUCCGUGCCAGCAGCCGCGGUAAUACGGAGGGUGCAAGCGUUACUCGGAAUCACUGGGCGUAAAGAGCGCGUAGGCGGGAAAGUAAGUCAGAUGUGAAAUCCUGUAGCUUAACUACAGAACUGCAUUUGAAACUACUUUUCUAGAGUAUGGGAGAGGUAGGUGGAAUUCUUGGUGUAGGGGUAAAAUCCGUAGAGAUCAAGAGGAAUACUCAUUGCGAAGGCGACCUGCUGGAACAUUACUGACGCUGAUGCGCGAAAUGGGAGCAAACAGGAUUAGAUACCUGGUAGUCCACGCCUAACGAUGAUGCUAGUUGUUGCCUGCUUGUCAGGGCAGUAAUCGCAGAAAACACAAAAAACACCCCCCCGGAGAACACGCGCAAAAGAAAAAAACAAAAAAAAAUACACGGACACCCCAAAAACCGGGGAACAAGGGGGUUAAAUCCAAAAAAACCCAAAAAACCUAACCAAGCCUGAAAAUGAAAAAAACCCCCUAGAGAUAGUGGAGUGUCUAGCUUGCUAGACCUUGAAAACAGGUGCUGCACGGCUGUCGUCAGCUCGUGUCGUGAGAUGUUGGGUUAAGUCCCGCAACGAGCGCAACCCUCGUCCUUAGUUGCUAGCAGUUCGGCUGAGCACUCUAAGGAGACUGCCUUCGUAAGGAGGAGGAAGGUGAGGACGACGUCAAGUCAUCAUGGCCCUUACGCCUAGGGCUACACACGUGCUACAAUGGGGCAUACAAUGAGACGCAAUACCGCGAGGUGGAGCAAAUCUCUAAAAUGUCUCUCAGUUCGGAUUGUAGUCUGAACUCGACUACAUAAAGCUGGAAUCGCUAGUAAUCGUGAAUCAGCAAUGUCACGGUGAAUACGUUCCCGGGUCUUGUACUCACCGCCCGUACACCAUGGAGUUGUAUCGCCUUAAGUCGGGAUACCUAAAUUGG